CCUACGGGUGGCAGCAGUGAGGAAUAUUGGUCAAUGGUCGGGAGACUGAACCAGCCAAGCCGCGUGAGGGAUGAAGGUACAGAGUAUCGUAAACCUCUUUUGUCAGGGAACAAAGGCGGGGACGUGUCCCCGGAUGAGUGUACCUGAAGAAAAAGCAUCGGCUAACUCCGUGCCAGCAGCCGCGGUAAUACGGAGGAUGCGAGCGUUAUCCGGAUUUAUUGGGUUUAAAGGGUGCGCAGGCGGUCUGUUAAGUCAGCGGUCAAAGCCCGGGGCUCAACCCCGGCCCGCCGUUGAAACUGGCAGUCUUGAGAUGGAGAGAGGGAUGCGGAAUGCGCGGUGUAGCGGUGAAAUGCAUAGAUAUCGCGCAGAACUCCGAUUGCGAAGGCAGCAUGCCGGCUCCAAACUGACGCUGAGGCACGAAAGCGUGGGUAUCGAACAGGAUUAGAUACCCCUGUAGUC
rnacentral:rRNA from 1 species